rnacentral:tRNA from 1 species
AUCUUUCUAGUAUAAUUUAAUACUAGUGACUUCCAAUUACUAAAACCUAGUUAAAAUCUAGGGAAAGAUA